CCUCCGGUAACUCAGCGGUUGGAGCGUUGGUUCCACGAAUAGGCUAGUUGUAUUGUUGGCUUCCCAUUGUCGCUGGUUCGACUCCAGCUCGCAGGG